rnacentral:rRNA from 1 species
GUGGAUGAGGCAUGCAAGUCGAACGAAGCCGGUAGCAAUACUGGCUUAGUGGCGGAAGGGUUAGUAAGACAUGGGUAACUUGCCUUUAACUGUGGGAUAACGGUUGGAAACGACCGCUAAUACCACAUAUGGUGGUGCAGGGCAUCCUGCAUUAAUUAAAGUGGGGGAUCGUAAGACCUCGCGGUAAAAGAGAGGCCCAUGGGAUAUCAGCUAGUUGGUGUGGUAAGAGCACACCAAGGCUAAGACGUCUAGGCGGAUUGAGAGAUUG